UAUGUGUUUUAGUCUUUCAAUUCUAGUAAACGGAGAAGAGGGUCCGAGAGACUAGGAAACAUCCUUCUGUUGCAAUUAAAUCGAGGAAUAGACUGUGAGCUGUUGAAUACUCUCGAAACUUGAAGAAAGGGAACUGAAUUUAAAGCUUUCAGAUACUAACUAGGAUGUCCAACGCAGUAGUUGAUUCUAGCGGACACAUCACCAUUCAGAUUACUAGUGAGGAAUGGGAUUUGGAAUGUGUGCCAUCAUGACCUCCGUUCUUGGAUUGUGACAGAGUCACAACAUGAAUGGUGGUCGUAUGAAGGGUCACGAGCAGCCGUACAAAGGGUUGCUAAUAUUACCAUUACGAGGAACAAAAGAUUUGGUGGUUGUAUAAAGGGCCACGAGUAACCGUAUAAAGGGUUACUAAUUGUCACAAUUGAGCAUAAGAGGAAUUCAAUUGACUAAUACAUGUGAAAAGAAUAAAUUUAUGCACAAAGUUAUAAGCUUUAGUGAUUGUUUUCUUGCUUCACACUUGUAAAA